rnacentral:snoRNA from 1 species
UACAAUACAUGAUGAUCUCACCCCAACUUGUACACUCUCACCAUUUUUUUUUUUUUUAAAUAAGAUCUGGCCCAGAGAAGGAAGUCACUCUUGUU